UACGUAGGUGGCAAGCGUUGCCCGGAAUUAUUGGGCGUAAAGCGCGCGCAGGUGGUUUCUUAAGUCUGAUGUGAAAGCCCACGGCUCAACCGUGGAGGGUCAUUGGAAACUGGGGAACUUGAGUGCAGAAGAGGAAAGUGGAAUUCCAAGUGUAGCGGUGAAAUGCGUAGAGAUUUGGAGGAACACCAGUGGCGAAGGCGACUUUCUGGUCUGUAACUGACACUGAGGCGCGAAAGCGUGGGGAGCGAACAGG
rnacentral:rRNA from 1 species